GUAACCUACCUUGAUCAGGGGGAUAGCCUCUCGAAAGAGAGAUUAAGACCGCAUAACAUCAUUGAAUAGCAUUAUUUAAUGAUCAAAUAUUUAUAGGAUCAAGAUGGGCAUGCGGAACAUUAGCUAGUUGGUAAGGUAACGGCUUACCAAGGCUACGAUGUCUAGGGGUUCUGAGAGGAUGAUCCCCCACACUGGUACUGAGACACGGACCAG
rnacentral:rRNA from 1 species